GACGUAGGGGGCGAGCGUUAUCCGGAUUUAUUGGGCGUAAAGAGCUCGUAGGCGGUUGCGUAAGUCGGAUGUGAAAACUCAGGGCUCAACCCUGAGACGCCAUCCGAUACUGCGCUGAAUAGAAUCCAGUAGGGGAGUGUGGAAUUCCUGGUGUAGCGGUGAAAUGCGCAGAUAUCAGGGGAACACCCAUGGCGAAGGCAGCACUCUGGGCUGGAAUUGACGCUGAGGAGCGAAAGCAUGGGUAGCGAACAGG
rnacentral:rRNA from 1 species